GAGAGAGAGAGAGAGAGAGAGAGAGAGGGGUGUGAGUGCUAGGAAGCAAUCUAAGGUCCUUUGCGAGAGCUGUAUGUACACCUAACCACUGAGCCAUGUGUCCAGCUACCUCUCUGCUCUUUCCAGGAGCACUCACUUGCCAGCCACUUACUUAUGAACUCCCUACAAAGGAUCUAAAGCUUAUCUGCCUGAUGAGUUCACCCUCAUCUGAGAAUUAAAUGGGAAUUAAAACUGUGGAGGAAACAGUUAAAAUUUCACCCAGAUGCGGAGUACAAUAGGCAAGCCCCGGCUAAACAUUUGAGGAGCAAACAUGGAGAG